rnacentral:lncRNA from 1 species
CUGGUUUACUCUUGGAGCAUUUUUUUAAAUUAUUUUUUUGAGUCAGUAGUCUCAGCAAAGUAGCUCUGUAUGAAAUGCUGAGGCUGCUGGGUGUAGUAUUUGGAGAUGCACAGCAUUAAGUUAAAGUAUUUGUGGAAUUGUUUUAAGACUUUUUUAUUUAAAAGAGUGUGCUGGUGAUGUGUUUAUCCAUUGCUGCCAUAAACACACAGCGCCUUACACGUGACUAUGCUGUGCAUCUUAAAAUGUCCCUAUGUGGAUACAAAAUAUACUUUCUUUAUCAUGAGAAUAAAAGCUUCAUUGAUGGUGGACACCAAGGGUUCUUAAGAAAACAAUUACCAGAACUGAUGAUGAUUUGAGGCAUCAGUGUAGAAACAUGGUGUUAGAAGGCAGAUGAUCACAUUCUGACUUUAUCAAGGAACAGCUGCAGCUGGGGUGGGUUUUUUUUUUUUUCUAUGAAGAAUGAUUGUGGCAGGCCUCAGGUAAAAUAGUCUGUGUGUGGCAGAUAUCAGAAGUACACUCUGACGUUUAAGAAUGGAGUACGCUGUACUGGGGGGAGAAGCCUGUUAUUAAUACUGAGUUUAUUCAAAGCGAUGCUGUACAAAAUUACUCGAAAGGAAUACACUACUGAUACUUUCAUGGAGGAAAUAAUAAGCAGAGCCAUUAUAAACUAAUAAAAGGGCAAUGGAUGGUAUGACAUGUGAAUUACAAAAAUAUAAAUACACGGGCUGCACAGUUUCAGAGGAGUAGACGUGUCAUCCUGUGGUAGUGGAUGCGUAGUGAAUUGCACAAGAUCUGAAAAAAAUGGCGACUGCAUUUGUCAUAUCUAAGGGGAAAGUCAAAGUGUGUGCCUGCCCAGAACCCUAUCAGUGAUAAAAUGAUUGCUUUAGGAGAUACCAAUCAAUAUGACUAUCAUAGAGUAGAAUGACUGAUGCCAUUCCAGCUGAUGAGCUCUGUGGGUGGCUUGGAGAGCUGUGAAAUAACACACACACACACACACACACACAAACACCUUCUUUUUACUCAGAAAAUGUGUGGAAAAUAUGAAAAUAAGACUAAUACAAAUGAGAUGGGAUACCAUGUCCUAGGUUUGAAAAAUGAGAUAAAGGCGCUCAGCUGAAUUCCAUUCAUUUGGUCUUUGUAGACAGCAGCCACACAGAUGAGAGCAUUAACAGAGCACUGGAAUGGCUGUUGGUCAUCUUGAAGACUGG